AAUGAACGUGGGCGGCGUGGAUUAGGCAUGCAAGUCGAGCGAGAAAGUUCCUUCGGGAACUGGACAGCGGCGAAAGGGAGAGUAACGCGUAGAUAUCUACCUCGAGGCCCGGGAUAGCGGCGGGAAACUGCCGGUAAUACCGGAUAACAUCCCCGGAUCAAAGGUGUGAUUCCGCCUCGAGAUGAGUCUGCGUCCUAUUAAUGCUUGUUGGUGUGGUAAUGGCACACCAAGGCGAAGAUGGGUACCGGGUGUGAGAGCAUGGCCCGGCUCACUGGGACUGAGACACUGCCCAGACACCUACGGGUGGCUGCAGUCGAGAAUCUUCGGCAAUGGGCGAAAGCCUGACCGAGCGACGCCGCGUGCGGGAUGAAGGCCCUCGGGUUGUAAACCGCUGUCAGUAGGGAGCAAAUCUCUUGGGGUUAUCCCCUUGAGUUGAGCGAUCUUCAGAGGAAGUACGGGCUAAGUUCGUGCCAGCAGCCGCGGUAAGACGAACCGUACGAACGUUAUUCGGAAUCACUGGGCUUAAAGAGUCCGUAGGCGGCCGUGUAGGUGGGAUGUGAAAGCCCUCGUCUCAACCGAGGAAUUGCGUUCCAAACCACAUGGCUUGAGGAGGAUAGAGGUGAGCGGAACUGAUGGUGGAGCGGUGAAAUGCGUUGAUAUCAUCAGGAACACCAGAGGCGAAGGCGGCUCACUGGGUCCUUUCUGACGCUGAGGGACGAAAGCUAGGGGAGCAAACGGGAUUAGAUACCCCGGUAGUCCUAGCUGUAAACGAUGAGCACUAGAUCGAGGGGACUUCCACAUCUUCUCGGUCGUAGCGAAAGUGUUAAGUGCUCCGCCUGGGGAGUAUGGUCGCAAGGCUG
rnacentral:rRNA from 1 species